ensembl:Mt_tRNA
CACUAAGAUGCUAAAAUUGGAUAGCGUUGACCUUUUAAGUCAAAACUUGGUGCUUACCGACCACCCUUAGUGA